GUUGAACUCAUCAGAGCACCUGGUUGAAGUUGGCCUCGCCCACCUUGUCAAAAGCUCCCCAAACUUGUCCCUAAUGACCGUGAGGCUGAAGCGUUCUCGCCAAUGCGUGCUAAGCUACAAGCUAUCUUAGCUUAGCUUCGGGACCUAGCAUGAGUCGGUGAAAACAAUGUUGUUCUUUAAAUGGUCUUCUUCAUUUCACGCCAAAGAGUAAGAUGACGUUUUAGGAUGACGCAGGAGAAGAAGAAGUCGCCUGCCUGAUAUUGAUUCGUAAGAUGUGUUUGCACUUGCAUGAUGACUGACAUGUUCCUCAAUCGACUGCUCAAAUAGAAAAGGCACCUACUUGAAUUUUCCCUCCAAUGUGAAACUCCUGUGGGAAGACCCCAAAAUAAAUGCAACAAAUGACAAAUUGCGUUUUCUUUCCUUUUUUUUGCAUAAACAAAUCAUA